rnacentral:sRNA from 1 species
CCGAGAUUGGAGCCUCUGCGCUCGAACUA